rnacentral:rRNA from 1 species
CCGAGGUGAACCUGCGGAGGGAUCAUUA